GUAGGGAACAAGAGACGACCUGAAACCGCGGCGUUUUGCCAUUUAAACUAUAUUUUUGCAGCGGUUGUAGGUUUAAAUGUCGACCCUCAUAUAUUACAAGGCACAUCCAACUAUCUAACAUCGUAGGCUGGUGCAGUUUGAGGUGUAAUGGCUCUGGUUGGUGGUAGGAGGAGACCAAGGUGAAGCGUGGACCCUCUAACAAGCACUUAUUGAGCUCUAACUAGCACCCAGGAAGGCAUUGAACCCAGGAAGGCAUUGAACCCAGGAAGGCAUUGAACCCAGGAAGGCAUUGAACCCAGGAAGGCAUUGAACCCAGGAAGGCAUUGAACCCAGGAAGGCAUUGAACCCAGGAAGGCAUUGAACCCAGGAAGGCAUUGAACCCAGGAAGGCAUUGAACCCAGGAAGGCAUUCAUGUGGUGAAGUACCACUAGGCUCUAGGAGGUUGCCAUGCGUUAAGAGUGUCAUAUACCUGUAGGCCAGUGGUGUGAUGCAAUACCGCUAUGUUAUUAUCACAACCUUGGGAAAUUCGGCUUGCAGCUUCACAUUAUAUUAAAACACACAAGUCAGUCAGGCAAUCAUACCAACAGCGGGGUUGUAUUGGUUCUACAGUUGAUGGAUCAUUCAGGAGUGUUUGUUGUUGUGUUCGAGUGCUAACAUAAGGCUCUGUGAUGUCAUCCUAUGAUAUUCAUGUCUUCCUCCCACUCUGUGCUUUGACAGGAAAAUGAUCCUCAUCACGUUGUAAAGUAGAAUACAGCACUAUCACUAUGGAGGUAAACACACACACACAGCCAACUAACAGCUUAGUGACGGUCAGUGUGCUCAGAGGUCGACCACAUGCGCACACACACACAUCUGCUUCGAGCUGUGUUGCCAUAGUAAUAAUGUAAUGAUAGAAUGGAAAUCCUAGUGCAUGUGUUUCAAUAGAAAAUGGAAAUGAAUAGAAUUGACUGUUUCAGAAACGAGAGUUUUGGAGAAGGCCAUUCACAGAACACACUGUGGUGUAUCAUCCCUGAGG